GACGGAGGAUGCAAGCGUUAUCCGGAAUUAUUGGGCGUAAAGCGUCCGCAGGUGGACAUACAAGUCUGCUGUCAAAGUGCAGAGCUUAACUCUGUAAAGGCGGUGGAAACUGUAGGUCUUGAGUAUGGUAGGGGUAGAGGGAAUUCCCGGUGUAGUGGUGAAAUGCGUAGAGAUCCGGAGGAACACCAGUGGCGAAGGCGACACGCUGGGCCGUACCUGACACUGAUGCGCGACAGCAUGGGGAGCAAACAGG
rnacentral:rRNA from 1 species